rnacentral:sRNA from 1 species
AACGAUCGGGAAGCGUCCUCCUCCUCCCAGCGCUCCCGGACGGAUUGGCAACACUCCUCCUCCCAGUUGUCAAUCAGGAUAGGCAGCGCCCGCCGGAUCUCCUCCCCCGGCGGGCGUUGCUU